AGGGAAUGGGACCCUAGUGGCGGACGGGUGAGUAACGCGUGGGUAACCUGCCCCAUACCGGGGAUAACACUUAGAAAUAGGUGCUAAUACCGCAUAAGCGCACGGUACUGCAUGGUACAGUGUGAAAAACUCCGGUGGUAUGGGAUGGACCCGCGUCUGAUUAGCUUGUUGGCGGGGUAACGGCCCACCGAGGCGACGAUGCGUAGGGGUUCUGAGAGGAAGGUCCCCCACACUGGUACUGAGACACGGACCAGACUCCUACGGGAGGCAGCAG
rnacentral:rRNA from 1 species